UUGAACGCUGGCGGCAUGCUUUACACCUGCCAGUCGAACGGUAACAGGGUGCUUGCACCGCUGACGAGUGGCGAACGGGUGAGUAAUGCAUCGGAAUGUACCGUGUAAUGGGGGAUAGCUCGGCGAAAGCCGGAUUAAUACCGCAUACGCCCUGAGGGGGAAAGUGGGGGACCGAAAGGCCUCACGUUAUACGAGCAGCCGAUGUCUGAUUAGCUAGUUGGUGAGGUAAAGGCUCACCAAGGCGUCGAUCAGUAGCGGGUCUGAGAGGAUGAUCCGCCACACUGGGACUGAGACACGGCCCAGACUCCUACGGGAGGCAGCAGUGGGGAAUUUUGGACAAUGGGCGCAAGCCUGAUCCAGCCAUGCCGCGUGUCUGAAGAAGGCCUUCGGGUUGUAAAGGACUUUUGUCCGGGAGCAAAUCCUAGUGGUUAAUAACCGCUGGGUCUGAGAGUACCGGAAGAAUAAGCACCGGCUAACUACGUG
rnacentral:rRNA from 1 species